rnacentral:rRNA from 1 species
GAUGAACGCUGGCGGCGUGCCUAAUACAUGCAAGUCGAGCGAACAGACGAGGAGCUUGCUCCUCUGACGUUAGCGGCGGACGGGUGAGUAACACGUGGAUAACCUACCUAUAAGACUGGGAUAACUUCGGGAAACCGGAGCUAAUACCGGAUAAUAUAUUGAACCGCAUGGUUCAAUAGUGAAAGACGGUUUUGCUGUCACUUAUAGAUGGAUCCGCGCCGCAUUAGCUAGUUGGUAAGGUAACGGCUUACCAAGGCAACGAUGCGUAGCCGACCUGAGAGGGUGAACGGCCACACGGGAACUGAGACACGGGCCAGACUCCGACGGGAGGGAGCAGUAGGGAAUAGUGCAAAAUGGGAGAAAGUCUGAAGGAGCAAUGACGAGGGAGUGAAGAAGGUCUUCGGAGCGUAAAACGCUGUAAGUAGGGAAGAACAGAAGUGAAAGUAAACGUGCACGUCGUGACGGUACCUAAUCAGUAAGCAACGGCUAACUACGUG